UACAGAGGUCUCAAGCGUUGUUCGGAUUCAUUGGGCGUAAAGGGUGCGUAGGCGGCGCCGUAAGUCGGGUGUGAAAUCUCGGAGCUUAACUCCGAAACUGCGUCCGAUACUGGCAGGCUUGAAGCCGGGAGAGGGAUGCGGAAUUUCCGGUGUAGCGGUGAAAUGCGUAGAUAUCUGGAGGAACACCAAUUGCGAAGGCAGCUCGCUGGGCCGUUCCUGACGCUGAGGCACGAAAGCGUGGGGAGCAAACAGG
rnacentral:rRNA from 1 species